UUUCCGUAGGUGAACCUGCGGAAGGAUCAUUCA
rnacentral:rRNA from 1 species